AAGCAUAUCAAUAAGCGGAGGAAAAGAAAAUAACAAUGAUUUCCCUAGUAACGGCGAGUGAAGAGGAAAGAGCUCAAAGUUGGAACCUGUUUGGCUUAGCUAAACCGGAUUGUAAACUGUAGAAACGUUUUCCUGGCACGCCAGAUAAAUAAGUCCUUUGGAACAGGGCAUCAUAGAGGGUGAGAAUCCCGUCUUUGGUCUGAGCUGUUGUCUUUUGUGAUACGUUUUCAAAGAGUCAGGUUGUUUGGGAAUGCAGCCUAAAUUGGGUGGUAAAUCUCACCUAAAGCUAAAUAUUUGCGAGAGACCGAUAGCGAACAAGUACCGUGAGGGAAAGAUGAAAAGAACUUUGAAAAGAGAGUUAAACAGUAUGUGAAAUUGUUAAAAGGGAACCGUUUGGAGCCAGACUGGCUUGAUCGUAAUCAAUCUAGGUUUCGACCUGGAUGCACUUGCGGUCUAUGCCUGCCAACGACAGUUCUUUCUGAAGGAUAAAACUAGGAGGAAUGUGGCCCCUCGGGGUGUUAUAGCCUCUUAGAUAAUACUUUGGAUGGGACUGAGGAACGCAGUGAAUGCUUAUGGCGAAAUUGCUAGGCGCUUUUGUUGAUAGAUGUUAGAAUUUCUACUUCGGGUAGUGCUGAUGUCUAAAGGUAAAACUCGUUUGGUUAAUUUUCUAUUCACUUAGGUUGUUGGCUUAAUGACUCUAAAUGACCCGUCUUG
rnacentral:rRNA from 1 species